GUUUGCUGCCUGGAGCCGAAGCAGGAGGAACAGAGCUGGAAGCUGCUCCCCUCAUGACUCCUCAGCAACAAGUAUCUCCUCCAUGGAAUAACCCACCCUGCUCCUUCCUAGAGCAGCUGGGUACUUGCUGAAGGCUUCCCAUCUAUCUGCUGACCCAGCCCAAUGCUGUUUAGCUGUGAAAGCUGUCAGACACAGGAGAAGAUAACUGUACUAGUUACGCACAUCGCGGGUGGAGAGACAGCUAUUGCAGCUCCAAAAAUAGCAGCAGAGAACUGGAUGUUCGUAAAUUCUGCUCUCUGUAUUUAUCCAAGACGACGAGGAACAGCAGUGGCUGGUCACCAAGGGGUCGUUUUCUUUCCCAGAAGGAUUUUUCAUUCUGCGGAUCAUCUUUCCCAUACAAAAAUCACAGAUAGUGAAGAAAAGAAACACUGUCCCAGGUGAACCCAGACCGCUUGUGAUUGACACAUACAGAAAGUGAAGCUGAGGGCCGGGCUGGCAAGGGUGCUAGCUGGGAGCAGAGAUGAACCAAAGCAGAGCCCAGCCUCUUCUUUGCAGGGGAAGUAUGUCUGAGAUGGAACAACCUGACACUCCUGAUUUCAUAUCAAUCAUCUUCCGUUCGCUAAAUUACGGGGAGCCCUAAUCAUGGAGGAGGACCCCAUUGCACUGGGUGCUGUAACAACAAAAGAUGGUCCCUGCACCGAGUUUACAACCUAAAUAGACAAGAAGACAUAGGGUGCGAGAAGGGGUAGAAUACACGAAGAGAGUGAACAAUGUGAUGGCAGCCAAUACCAUGUCAGUUAAACUGCAUUAAAUCCUGGUGUGUUCAUUUAUUCAAAAUAAAAGUGGCUUUAAUUUGGUUUAUCUUGAUUCACUUUGGAAAUGAAUUAACCUAAACCAAAGUAAGGCCACUUUAUUUCUGAAUGAGCGUGUCCACAUCGGGGUUUAAUUGAGCCACUUUAAAUUCAAACCUUUAGUUAAUUCAGAGUAACAGAGUUACUAAUGUUCUUGUCAGUUCCCCAUGGCAGUUGCUUGCCUUCCACUGGUUUGUGAUCCAACAGUCAGGUUGGCAGGGGAUGAAUACGGGUUGGGACUGGAGGAGUGGAAAAUUAAGGAGCUGGCUGCUGGGAGGUUGGGUCGGGGUUCUGUAUGGGCUAGUAAGGGAGCUUAGAGAGGGAUGGAGGGGAGGGAGAGAAGGGAUCCGAGAAGGUGUAUACAGCUCAUCGCUGUUCUAAGGGGUAACAUGACUUCUGACUCGCAACAUUUUGCAUACAUGUCCAUUUCACUUUCAGAUAGGCUACCUGUGCUGCUGAAAGCAAGCAUGGGUGGGCAGGAACUCCAUUUCUAUUCCCUGUGCCUGUCAGAGUCACUAGCACAGUAGAAGCAGCCUCAGCUGUACCAGGAUCCUUAGGCAAAGCAACCCCAGAAUAAUUUGCCUUGCUGAGCUGUCAUAUGGCUUUCAGAGACGGCUCCAUUAGUAGUGCUUAUUUGAGACCCAACAGGUGACCCUCUUGUAAAAUGGAUAUUAUCAUUCCAUGGAAAAGGCCUUUGGCUUCCAAUGUUUACUUUCCUCCCCUCCCCCCCAUCAUGUAAUAAAGAUACUAGCUAUUAUUUUUGUAUCACCAACCCAAUAUGUCACAAAGUCAUAGAGUUUAGGGCCAGAAGAGACCACCAGAUCAUCUCCUCGGACCUCCUUUGUAUUACAGUGCUUCCCGAGCCAUCAUGCUUCACCUGCUGGCAGCUGAAAUUGCACAUGUUAAAUGCGCCUAAGAUGCAACAGACCUGUAAUGCUUUCAAGUGGAGAACACGUGCUAUUGGAAACCUUCCCAUCACAUUUCCAAUCAGAAGGACGUACUAAACUAUACAGGCUCCAGAUGGCAUUUAGUGGCCUUCUACCAAGAGGAGUACUUAUAAGGAAAUUGCUACUGGAUCACUGACUGGUAACUCUGAGGACAACUUCUUCCAACCUGGAUAAGGACAAAAAUAGCCAGUUAAUCACUGUCAGGAGAAUAAACAAAGACUCCAUGAGCCAAAAUGAGAACCCCUCAUUGGUGUGCUUCUGUAACACUCAGCAGCUGAGUUCAAGCUGUGAUCUAAGUGUCCAGCCACUGUGCCUCUAGCAAGCAGUUUGACUGCACCACACAGACCUUUGCUCUCAGAAACACUCGUCCAGUUCAGCUGAAGGAGUAAUAAAGGAUGGCUAUUUCAGGAGCGGAGAGAGGCUGGGAAAUAUAAGCAAUAUGAGAUUAAAUGCAACUCGAGUUGGGUAGGGGCAGCAGCAUAGGGUAGGAUUUAAA